rnacentral:tRNA from 1 species
GUAGGUAUAGUUUAAUUUAAGACACUAGAUUGUGGUUCUAGAGAUGGGAGUUAAAAUCCCCCUACCCACCG